rnacentral:rRNA from 1 species
GGAAGUAAAAGUCGUAACAAGGUCUCCGUAGGUGAACCUGCGGAGGGAUCAUUACACAAAUAUGAAGGCGGGCUGGAACCUCUCGGGGUUACAGCCUUGCUGAAUUAUUCACCCUUGUCUUUUGCGUACUUCUUGUUUCCUUGGUGGGUUCGCCCACCACUAGGACAAACAUAAACCUUUUGUAAUUGCAAUCAGCGUCAGUAACAAAUUAAUAAUUACAACUUUCAACAACGGAUCUCUUGGUUCUGGCAUCGAUGAAGAACGCAGCGAAAUGCGAUAAGUAGUGUGAAUUGCAGAAUUCAGUGAAUCAUCGAAUCUUUGAACGCACAUUGCGCCCUUUGGUAUUCCAAAGGGCAUGCCUGUUCGAGCGUCAUUUGUACCCUCAAGCUUUGCUUGGUGUUGGGCGUCUUGUCUCUAGCUUUGCUGGAGACUCGCCUUAAAGUAAUUGGCAGCCGGCCUACUGGUUUCGGAGCGCAGCACAAGUCGCACUCUCUAUCAGCAAAGGUCUAGCAUCCAUUAAGCCUUUUUUUCAACUUUUGACCUCGGAUCAGGUAGGGAUACCCGCUGAACUUAAGCAUAUCAAUUAAGCGUGAGGAA